rnacentral:rRNA from 1 species
UGAAUACGUUCCCGGGUCUUGUACUCACCGCCCGUCACACCAUGGGAGUUGAUUUCACCCGAAAUCGGGAAGCCAACCUUCGGGGGGCUACCGCUUACGGUGGAAUUAGCGACUGGGGUGAAGUCGUAACAAGGUAACCGUAGGAGAACCUGCGGUUGGAUCACCUCCUUUCUAGA